AAAGUGCGAUAAGUGGUAUCAAUUGCAGAAUCUCCCUAUUACCGAAUCUUUGAACGCAAAAGGCGCGCGGGAGAAGCUCUUUACAAGCGAACCCCGCGCAUGCCGUAUCGCUCAGUGUCGAACAAAAAACAAACUCAAAAAGAUUAACAGAGUCCUCGUUCUUGGAUAUCGAGCUUUGCUCUUUUUUGUCCAACGAGGUGGUGACUCUCUUUGCAUUUUCGCAAAACCAAUGGGUCACAAAACAUUUGAAAAAAAAGUUCAAUCAACGAACAAAACUUUCAUACAAACAAACAACACCAUUAAUGUUCACAGACCUGAGUGCGGCAGGACCACCCGCCGAACUUAA
rnacentral:misc_RNA from 1 species